GGCUCGAUGGUGUAGUUGGUUAUCACGUUCGCCUCACAUCUAAGUGAAGACCGCGAAAGGUCCCGAGUUCGAGCCUCGGUUGAGUCA